rnacentral:lncRNA from 1 species
CCAGACGCCACCACGUCGCCUCCCUGAUCCAAAUCAGGCCAGCACAUAUGGUUAUCUCCCUCACAUACUUCCUACUCCUACCCAAGCACGUCGUCCCUUCCCAAAGGCUCAAACUCCUGAAGCUUCUUGCUCACUGUGUCCUCUCCAUCGCGUGAACCCAGUGAGUUUCUCCUUGCUGCUGGAGCGCUCGGCCAGCGCUCGGCUAGAGCUUCCUCUCUUUCCUCGUCAUUUUUUUGGGUCCUCUCCAUCGGUGGAGCAGCAACAGCUCGGCGCCGACUUCCUCAGUCAGCUCGCCAGCCGUCGCACUCCUUUGUCCGUUGGGCCGUGCGUUGUCGCGUCUACCUCGUGGUGUUGUCAUGGACUUAUCGGCGUGCUGCUAUGGUACCUAGAUCGCGUUCGCCUCAGCUCCGAUAAGUCGUCAUACCAUCGUCUUCGUCGAUCGGGAAUCGUGGUGCCGACACAUCGACAUCGUCGUUCGUCCCCUUUCCGAGUCUACAACAACGUCGCCUAUCCCUCUUUGGUGCUUGUUAUCGAUCCGUCGCCUUGCCCCGAUGCUGGCUCCUACGUGACGCCUCCCACUUGUGUUCACGCCAAAAAUCCGAGAAGAUUUGGCGCCGAAGGAAAUAAAUCAGUACGCGACCGGAGGAUUCUCUAUGUGGAUGGAGAAGAAACGCGAUUCGAUGCAGCACUCACCAUGUGUUUGGUGAAAUGCUAGAGCUGAAAGGCGUCGUGAUUUCGUGGUUUCAAGUCGAAUUUAAUGAGGGUACGUAAAUUAACCAUGUGAUGCGGAAGACGAGCCAAGUCGACCCCAAGCGCGAGCUACUCCGCAUGGUGAUACUGAUGGACGAACCUGCCUGAUCAAGUGCUAGGACAAGGAUGAUCGUCAAGUGGUCGUCGUCUAACAACACUAACCUAGUGUUACCCAGGCAAGCUCCGGUGCAUUUGCCCAUUCCUUGUGUUUUAAAUACUUUAUCACCUGAUAUGAUGCAUUAGGUUGAUAGAAGUUGUGUGAUAAACAAUUGAUGCAUUACCAUUCCUUGGAAACUCCUUAAUCCCUGUUUUAUAAAAAGAACUGAUAAUGCUUAGCCCUGCU